UUACUUUCUAUAGUUCUCACACUUCUCCGUUCUCUUCUUAUCUCUAAACCUAAGUCUUUCCUCUUCUCCUUCUCUCGCUCUCCUCUUUCAAUUUACAGAACCUCAAUGUUGCAUUACGAGAGGAUGAUUGAUCAAAGUUCCCAACAACUUGAACCCUAUCAUUCCAUUAUUCUUUCUCAAUUCCUACAUCGCUUCCAAACUCUUAUGCCUCCAAUCUUCUCUCUUUAUUCUCUUCUUAUUCUUUUUGAGUAACAUAUAUCUUUACUUUAUUUUACCUCCCUUUGGAUUGAACUGAGAUUGUGUGUGCUGUUUCGCUUCUCUCCCUUCAUAUGGAUGGUGUGAUUGCUUCGGAUGAUGGUGUUGUGAGAGCUUUGAUCUCAGCCAUGGUGUGUUCCAAGAGAAGGGUUUUGUUGGCUAAUUGUAACGUUGUUCUGGAUUUGUCCACCACGUCGUCUGGGCAGCAAAGCUUGGUGAAGUUCUAUACUUCCAGCCUCUUAUGUUUGUAUUCAUUGUUGUUGACUCUAAUUCUGAUUCCCUCCCACCCCCUGUUUUUCUCAUAUGGUGGAAUUAGUUUGGCUAUGAAUUUAAGUGGAUCCUGAUUGUUUACAUAUUUUUAAAAUAUGGUAUAUGACAUUAAAAAUCAAAUGUAAGUUGAGAAAGGAGAAGUGUGAAAACCAUGACUAUGAAUUUAAGUUAAUCCUUAGUGCUAGCUAAUUCCUCAAUUGGUUAUUGCUAUUUGUUUAUGAAGGAAGUUCAUUAUCUAAAUUACUCUCUAAAAUUGAAAUAAAAAUCAGUUAGGUUUGAGAGAGAUUUGAGUAAAAUUGCUCUAAUGGACAGUGAAAGUAGGUACUUAUGAUUGAACCACUUUAAAAAGCUCUAGUGUUCAUAUGAUUUACUUCUUUGGUGUUCAUCUGAUUUACUUCUUCUUUUUCAUUUUUUGUUUGCAAUUCUCUCCAUAUUUCAAGCUCCAGAAUGUAUAUGCCCUUUCUUUGAAUGAUCAAGUUUGUUUUUUCAUUUUUCAUGUAAGGUUGAAGAAAAUAGCUGAAACGUGUAUUCUAAAUGUUAGAAAUAAAGGAAAACGUGUGAAAUUCAACAGUUUCUUUCUUUCUUUUCCUUCUUGGUUUUGUUUGUUUUACAGGUUAGUUCAGCACCAACCUACCCAAUACCCCACGUUCAAGGAGUUGAGUAUUGGAAAACAUCAAAUUCAAGGCCUUUGAUUUAGGUGGAUAUCAAAUUGCACGUAGAGUUUGGAAGGAAUUAUUAUGCUAAGAAGAGAGAAGGCUAGAAUUUACUGAAGUUCUGCAGAAUUUUUCUCUCUACCAAGCCCCUCUCCAAUUCCUUCACAAUUCACUUCAAUCAUGAGUUCCACCACUCAAAUUCAAUGCUGAGAAUAGUAGAGAAAAUAUCUUGGUGGUUCAUUGAAGAUUUGAAACUGAGAAUCCGUGAAGAACAACUUGCAAUUGGAGGAAUUCAACAAAGGGCACCCACCAUGUACCACUUUGGAAAAAAAAAGGGGGAGCAACCGCAUAUGAAAAAAAAAAAAAACACCAUCUAUGAGAAGGAGAGAAACUUACUGUUGUAGUCGAGUGAGAGAGAGAGAUUGACGCCGGUGGUCUCGUUUGCAGAUCAAAAGUUGUGGACGUCGGGGUUUGAAGCUAUGAAGGUACUUUUCGGUCCGGUCUAGUGUAGGCACGUGAAUUCUGGUUCGUAUCCAACGAGUGGGUUUCUGAUGUGGUUAAUUUCGGGCAGAUUGAUUCCGGUUUCAGGGGUUAUUUUCAGUGGGUGGGUCUUGGUUUUUGAGGUGAUAUUGUCUGCUGAUUUCUCGAUAUCAGGGGGUGCUUUUGGCCUGUGGUAUAGUUGGGUUUGGCGAUGUUUUACUCGGCGAUUAGUCUCAGUGAAGAGGUUUUUCUCCAACCUCUAUCAAACUCACCAAAGUCCACAAUUCUCACUCCGAGAAUACCAAGGGCUCUUUUUUGGUGGCGUCAACCUCGCCGCGUUCACUUGUUCGUGAUUGAUCGUGCUGCAGUAGAUGACGUGUUUGCUGGGUGAUAAGAGUAUGGGUGGAGGUUCUUCUGCUGCAUCUGAGUUCUAAAGCUUGAAGAGGGUCUUCAAUUGGAAGAGGUGAUCUACAUGGCUAGCUUAGGGCUAUGAGAUGAAGGGAAAGAAAGACAUGAUUUAUCGUCUUCACAAGUCCAACUACGAAUUGAAGCAACCGCCGAUAUAGUGGUAUAUUAGGUUUGAUACUUUUAUUUUGAAGCAGGGGUCUCACAGGAGUUCAUAUGACGCCUGCAUGUAUUGAAAACGAUCUCAGAAAGAUCAGAAGCUGUCGUCGCUGGAGUUCGAAGCUGUGGAGGUACUUUUCGGUUCGGUCUAGUGCAAGCGCAUGGGUUUCGGUUCGUGUCCGGCAAGUGGGUUUCCGGUGUGGUUAGUUUCGGGCAGAUUGAUUCCAGUUUCAGGGGCUGUUUUCAACGGGUGGGUCUUGGUUCUAGAGGUGAUAUUGUUCGCGGAUCUCUCGAUAUCAAUGGGUGUUUUUGGUCGGCGGUAUAGUCGUGUUUGACGGUGUUUUGCUCGAUGACUAGUCUAGGAGUGGAGGGGAGAUUUAGAGAUGUUCUUAUGUUGACUGAAAAUUUGGAGAUUUUUAUGGUUGUCCAUGGGAUGCUUUGCUUGAUUUUGUUUCUGCAGAAGAGGUCAAAAGAGAAUGUUCCAAGAUUUUGGCAUGUUGGGCAUUGUUGGUAGCAGUAUUAUGAUCUAGUUGAAGGAGAUCAACAAUGAACAUCUCAACUUUUGAAGCUUUGGUUCUAUGUAAGGCACUCUACGAUCCUUUGGUUCUAUGUAAGGCAUUUAAAAAGACAUGUAUUGGACUUGCUUGACGUUAUCUAUUCCAGGAGUUUUGUUUAACACGGUAGUUUUCCAAAUAUUUUGAAGCUUGAAGGAGAUAAAAAUUGACCAUCUCAACUUUCCCUUGUGAGUUUAUUCUAAAAUGUUGCUGAAUGUAUGUUCCUUCUUUUUGUUUUGUGAAAUAUCAUUUUAGUGAGAAUGAAGGUUUAAAGGGCUUUACAUAUUUUUCAUCUGUGUAUUUAUUUCCCGAUUCCCUAUAUGUUCAAAAUUGAUGGAAAUUUGUACGUUGAGGCCAUGAAUUUGAAGUAAAUGAAUUAGAGUUGUUUCAAACUCAUUUUGUUAGUUUGAUUUGAUUAUGAAUGAUUGAUUAUAAAUUGGAUCUUGUUUUGUGGUUGCAGUAGGAACAAAAUUGAUGGUUUGAACAUUUUGCUCUAGGAGAAAGUUAUCAGUUUAUAAUGGUGUAAAAUCUUAUGAAUCAAGGCUCUUCUUCAAAGCUAUAGUUUUACUCUUUACUUUGAAUUUUGAACUUCAAACUAGAAGUCGAUCAAAACAGGCUUUAGUUUCCUUAGCUAUUAGAGAAUGAAAAGUAGAAUCUAACUUUAC